GGUGGAUUACUGGGUGAUGAACCAUGCCAAAUGUACCUAAGUGAGAACAGGAUGUGUGCAAGGGGAAAUUAUUUGUUAAGGUGGGAGGAAGGGGGAACAAGUGAAAAAGAGAUUUAAAAAAUGAUUUUUUUUUUGUUCCUUUCAAA